rfam:Gossypium hirsutum cultivar TM-1 unplaced genomic scaffold scaffold280.1, whole genome shotgun sequence
GUUGCAGAGCCAAUUUGGCAUUCUGUCCACCUCCAACAAUAAUUCUUGGUAGUGGAGGUGGUCAGUAUGUCAAACAGGCAGUGUAAA